UCUCCGUUGGUGAACCAGCGGAGGGAUCAUUACCGAGUUUACAACUCCCAAACCCAAUGUGAACCAUACCAAACUGUUGCCUCGGCGGGGUCACGCCCCGGGUGUGUCGCAGCCCCGGAACCAGGCGCCCGCCGGAGGGACCAACCAAACUCUUUCUGUAGUCCCCUCGCGGACGUUAUUUUUACAGCUCUGAGCAAAAAUUCAAAAUGAAUCAAAACUUUCAACAACGGAUCUCUUGGUUCUG
rnacentral:misc_RNA from 1 species